rnacentral:lncRNA from 1 species
UGUCAAAUAGUUUUUACUUUAUUUUUUACUUUCGAAUAAACGUAAAAUUUAUUUAAUCAAAAAUUUUUUUUACAUCAAAUACAACUGUCUUUUAGAUCACUCAAGUGAUAAAAGAAUAAAUGAAUUUAACUCUAAGGUGUUUUUUAACCCCAAACCAAUAUCUGAGGCUUUUAUCAUACUGGUAAUCUCCCAUCAUUAUGAUAGAGCUGAGGAAAUUCCUCAUUAUUUUAGAUUAUUUGUAAAAUCUGUUCAGGAGGCCAAGGUAUUUACCAUGAUUUUUUUUUGUUUUAUUUCUCUCUCUCUCUCAAGAUGUUAUUA